UAGGUCAUCAUCUGCUGGAUGCUUAUCAUUGGCUUAGUUUCACAGAUCAGAGGCACCUGGCGGACGCAAUGGUCACAAAGGAGAAGAGGAAUCGGAAUCACAUUCAUUUUUAAUUUGCAUAAUUGCAUAUAUCUUUCAUACAAAAAGCUUAUUUCCAAGGUUGGAUAGGGACAUAAUUUGUGGAAAAGUUAAUGCAUGGAUAAUAGACUUCUGUCACAGUGGCAGAAGUGAUGAAAUGGCACAAAGGCAUGUAACAGUAAUAACUAUGAAGAUGAAAUGUGUCUCUCUAGAUAGAUAGAUAGAUAGAUAUUAAUCCUGUUGUCUUGAUCAAAUGAAAUCAGUUUUUAACCAUAACAGAUGUUUUGUUUACAGUGAACUCUAAUAUGAUCUAAAAUGACUGCUGGUAAGGUAGGACACAUAUAAGGGGAUUUUUGGGGAAAACUUUAGUUAAAUGAGAAGACUGAUACUACUGCCAUGCCUGUGUGUCAUUCAAGGUUGUAGCAUCAACCACUUUUCUGUCUUUCAAACUAAGAUGACAAUUUAUUGACACACAGAAGUCUAGACAACAAAUGAAUACAUUGAUUGUUUUUGGCCUUGUAGGCUCUCACCUGCUCCCCUUCUUUGACAAAAUCUUUUCUGCAGAUAUGAGCCAUAAUGCCUGUGGCCAGUGCGUCACCCAUCACAUUGACCAUGGUCCUGAAUCGAUCCCUGGGUAAUAAAAUGAUAGAAGUCAUCCACAGUGUUAACAAAGGUUUCCUUGUGGCCCUUAGGAAAUUCUCCGAGGCCAGUACCGGUGUGCAGACCAGGGGUUGGGGACCUUUGGCUUAUAAGAUCGGGUCAGCAUUUCUACACUAAGUCGCAUCCUACAGAAACAUAACUUCAGAAUGGAGCAGCUGUACAGGGUGCCAUUUGAGAGGAACAGUGUCAGGGUCAAGGAUCUGCGCCAUGAUUAUGUGCAGACAGUUCUGGAUUUUGAUGCCGUCGAACUGCCACAUGAGUUCAUCUACGUGGAUGAGGCAGGCUUCAAUCUGGCCAAAACCAGGCGUCGGGACUGUAAUGUAGUUAGAAAAAGGGCCGUUGUAAAUGUCCCUGGGUAGCGUGGGGGAAAUAUCUCCUUGUGUGCUGCAAUUAGUAUCCAAGGAGUACUACAUCACUCUGCCACUAUAGGUCCCUACAUUACAGAACAGAUCAUUGCAUUUCUAGAUGCACUACAUGCAGUUGUGCAGGACAGACCAUUGCAGCCCAGGUUUGUUGUCAUCUGGGAUAAUGUUAGUUUCCACCGGGCUGCUCUGGUCCGAGAUUGGUUCAACAACCAUAACCAUUUCACACUUUUAUACCUGCCCCCUUACAGCCCCUUUCUAAAUGCAAGUAUAUGACCGCAUACCUCUUCUGCAAGCAAUGGAAGAGGCAUGCGGAUAUUUUCCCCGAUAACCAAGCCCGCGAGGACAUUGCCUGUGAUGUUGACAAGGUCUUGUGGCCAGAUCCGAACAGAAGGCGGGAUCCAUAAGCCCCCCAACCCCCACCACACACACAUGCACACAUGCACACAC